UCGGUGCACUGAACCCAGGUAAGAAAAGACUUGCGGGGACCGUCUUUCCGGAGGACUGGGGACCUGCGGAGUGCCUGUAGAUUUUUCUACAGAGACGUGGGACUCAGGAAUCUAGAGACCGGGGCUCGUCUUUUGUAGAUUAGAUUACUUACAGUGUGGAAAC